AUCUCAAGUCAACCAGGUCAUUUUACAUAGGCCAUUAUGAUAGUGUGUCCACCCCACACAGGACUGGAAGGGGUUAAGAUGGCCAGUCAGGCCAAUUAAUUCCACAGGCUGCACCUGGAGGAGAAGUCAGGGAAUUGAUUGGAAGCAGACUCAGCUGGAGGGGCCUAAAUAAGCCAGGAAGUUGGCAACAGAAGGGGCUGGAGGGAAGGAGUAUCUAGUCACUCCCUGGGAGAAGGGAGGUUUGUAUGGGGCAGGAGGCACAAAGCCUGCUCUUACUCCCUGGGAGGGGAGGGAGAGUGGCUUAGCAAGCUCAGAGAAAGGGGAGAGCCAGAGAGUUAGACAAGACUGAGGGGGAAAGCAGCAAGGUAUGGGGCAAGUCAAACCUUGGUUGCCAAUGUCCUGAAGCAGGGCUUAUGUCCCUCUAGCAGCCACUGACAAAGUGACACCGGCAGGGCAGUAAGUAGGAAGACUGCCUCAGCCUGUUUGUGAAGAGAGACUUUCCUACCCUGGAAAGGGGAACGCUGGAGUGACCUGACUGGAGGGCUAAGUCACAAAGAGGAAGCUGCAGUUCCUAAAGCAAGAGGGGUUCAGCAGACAGAGAGGACGAUGGAAGACACACCACAAGGGGAGAGUGCAAUGCCUGGCCAGAGCUAAACCCCAGGGACUGCCAGGAAAAGAUGCCACAAGCGGUGAAUGAACCCGGGACAGCUUCUGGGUGUUUGACUUUUGGUGUCAUCCAAUGGAGACUGAACUGAAACUAGUGAUAGGGGCUGCGUUUACAGAUCUGACUCAUCCAAAAUGCCCACUGAUUUAAAUGGGAGUUAUGCAUGAGUAAAGUCUUCAGGAUGGGGCUCCUAGAAGUGGAAGAGGAAUCCUUUAAAGAAUGAGAGAGAGCAAGACCUGGGAUUUAUGGUCCAAGUUUCCUCCCAGGCUGAUUUUUGUAAUUGGGUGAAUAAAACCUGAAUAGAUUCAUAAAUGCAUAGAUUUUAAGGCUAGCAGGGGAUCUUUAUGUUCAUCUAGUCUAAUCCCCUGCAUCGCACACAUGAGUGUUUCACCCAGUAAUUCCUGCAACAAUUUUGAUUGAGCUAGAACAUGUCUUUUGGAAGACUGUCAAUCUUGAUUUAAAGAUCUCAAGCGAUGGAGAAUCUACUACACAUGUCCCUAGAUAGUUUUACAUCCGUCUAGCCAGCCCAGUCGUGAUGAACCAUUCAAUUGUUGAUGGACUAUUGAAGCUUGAUGGGCCAUUAAGACAAAUCAGGUCUCCAUAUAUCUCUUCCUGCAGAUGCUUCAGACAGCAAGGAGCCACCCUUGUGAUUCAGCAACACAUGUAAGGAUGUAUGAUAUGGACAUGUGACCUUGGACUCCAUCUUUGUCAGUAACUUUCCAUACACAGGGGCUGAGGGCUUCGUUUGGGAGAGUAAAUUUCCAUGCACAUGGCAAAAGAUAUAAAAGACACCUGAGACAUCUCCAUGUUGCCUCAUUCCUGCUCCAAUUCUCUGAACUGUGGAUUUACAACUAAAAGAAGUAUUUUGAACUAUGGACUGAGGACUUUUGCAAGCCAGCUGUCUAUUCCAUCACAGCUAUGAUCUUGACCUAUGAACACUGAAAGUCACUUGUAUGUAUAUGAUACUUUAACCAUUCAAUAAAUCUCUUUUUUUU